CAACUCAAUUACUCUACCACCGAGAAGGAGCUUCUAGCCGUAGUCUUUGCCUUAGAAAAGUUUCGUUCUUAUCUUAUCGGGUCCAAAAUCAUUGUUUACACCGACCAUGCCGCUCUUAAGUACCUUUUCUCUAAGAAAGACUCAAAAGCCCGAUUAAUUAGAUGGAUAUUGUUGCUCCAAGAGUUUGACUUAGAGAUUAGGGAUAAGAAAGGUUGUGAGAAUGUCGUCGCCGAUCAUCUCUCUCGAUUAGUGGUUGAGUCCACUAACGACUUGCCCUUGAGCGAGUCCUUUCCCGACGAUUCACAAGUGAGUGUGUUCAUGCCUACGAAGACCUUAAGAGAGAAUUGACUUCGGCCCCGAUCAUGAAGUCUCCCGAUUGGAGUCAACCUUUUGAGCUUAUGUGUGACGCAUCCGAUUAUGCCAUAGGAGCGGUUUUAGGACAACGAAUAGAUAAGAGGCCUCAUGUCAUUUACUACGCUAGUAAGACCUUAAAUGAUGCCCAACUCAAUUACUCUACCACCGAGAAGGAACUUCUAGCCGUAGUCUUUGCCUUAGAAAAGUUUCGCUCUUAUCUUAUCGGGUCCAAAAUCAUUGUUUACACCGACCAUGCCGCUCUCAAGUACCUUUUCUCUAAAAAAGACUCAAAAGCCCGAUUGAUUAGAUGGGUAUUGUUACUCCAAGAGUUUGACUUAGAGAUUAGGGAUAAGAAAGGUUGUGAGAAUGUCGUCGCCGAUCAUCUCUCUCGAUUAGUGGUUGAAUCCACUAACGACUUGCCCUUAAGCGAGUCAUUUCCCGACGAACACCUUCUCUCAAUUUCCACUCUCCCUUGGUUCGCCGACAUAGUCAAUUACUUAGCAACCGGUGACAUUCCCUCGACAUGGUCCAAGAAUGAUAAAGCCAAGUUCUUUUCUCAAGUGAAACAUUUCUUUUGGGACGACCCAUAUCUCUUUAAGCAUUGUCCAGAUCAAAUCAUUAGGAGGUGUGUCCCAAAUAGUUCGCUAGUAAGACCUUAAAUGAUGCCCAACUCAAUUACUCUACCACCGAGAAGGAACUUCUAGCCGUAGUCUUUGCCUUAGAAAAAUUUCGCUCUUAUCUUAUCGGGUCCAAAAUCAUUGUUUACACCGACCAUGCCGCUCUUAAGUACCUUUUCUCUAAAAAAGACUCAAAAGCCCGAUUGAUUAGAUGGGUGUUGUUGCUCCAAGAGUUUGACUUAGAGAUUAGGGAUAAGAAAGGUUGUGAGAAUGUCGUCGCCGAUCAUCUCUCUCGAUUAGUGGUUGAAUCCACUAACGACUUGCCCUUAAGCGAGUCAUUUCCCGACGAACACCUUCUCUCAAUUUCCACUCUCCCUUGGUUCGCCGACAUAGUCAAUUACUUAGCAACCGGUGACAUUCCCUCGACAUGGUCCAAGAAUGAUAAAGCCAAG
rnacentral:lncRNA from 1 species